AGCAUGACCUUGACCUUCCUUAAUUAUUGUUUGUAAGGCUGGAUGAAUGGUGAUACAUUCUUUCCAUUUUUGUUUGUUUUAGAAAGUCUUUAUUUCACUUUCAUUUGUAAGUGGGAACUUCACUGUGUAUACUAUUCUGGGUUGAUGUUUUUAUCUUUCAGGACUCUGCAUUCUCUCCAUGCCUGUAGGGUUUCUGAUGAGAAAUCAGUUAUCAAUACAGUUGGGGAGCCUUUGAAGGUGAUUUGAUGGAUCUCUGUUGCACGUGUUGGGACCUUUUCUUUAACUUUUGAGAGUGUCACGUAGUGUUAUGGUGAGGAUCUCUUCUGAUCUGGUCUGUUAGGAGUCUGACAUAGUCUGCUGUUAUUUCACUGAAUAGGUCUUCUAACUUAUUCUUUCCCUGUUUUCUUAAGACAUGUGGUUGAUGAUUUGAUGGUAUCCCAUAAAUUGUAAGCACUGUCUUUUGUUUUUCUAGUUUCUUUUUUCUGACUGAGAUAUUUCUAGAGUAUAUCUUAUAGUUAGGAUAUUCUUUCCUCUGCUUCAUGGAAUAUGUUGUUUAGGCUACUGACUAUUGUUAGAUACAAAACCACACUGAAACAGCAGGACUAACGAGACCAGAAUGAUGGUAAAACCAGGUUUAUUGAAAUCUGCUCCUGGGCGAGGUUCAUCGGUCCACGUGGUAGCUAAGGUCCGCAGGCUGGUGAAGUUAUGUGUGCACUAGGCCUCACAUCCCUUUAGUGGGGAUGAUGGGGGCUUGCUGUUGUCUUCUGAUUGGUCAGCUCCAGUUAAAUGAGUUUGGGGUGAUUAUUCUUGGCGGGAACUUUUGGCGCCACCUACGGGCUUUCUGCCUGUCCCCGGGUCCUCCAGAUUAACAACUGUAUUUUUUUAUUUGACACAUUUGAUCUUUCAUUGCUAAUAUUUCCAUUUGAUUUGCCUUUAGUGUCUCUAUAUCCUGGAAGAACUUCUCAUCUAUGUCAUAUAUCAAUUUUUUUUUCAAUCCUGUAUUUGCCUCUCUGUGAUUCUGAGCAAUGUUUUUUUUUUUUUCUUUAGAUUUAUUUGAAUUCUCACAUUGAGUAUUGUUUCUCUUGGGGAGUCAUAUUUUCCUCCUUGUUCAUGUUUCUUGUAUCUACAUAUAUUUGGGGUUUUCUCCUCUGAUGGUUUCAUUCUUUGAGAUGUGGCUCUGUGGCUUAGUGGAGUGUCUGCUCCUUCAGCACAAAUCAGCGGGUGUGCUGGGUGGGGCCAGGAGCUUUGACCAGUGCUUGAGGGUGGGGGCAAAAUCUAAGAACCACACCCAAGUUGAGAGUGGUAGAUCCUGUGUCUUCCUUACAGGGGAGGAUAUUUUUGCAUUAGCUGGUGUGUUUACAGAGAGAGGAACAUCUCUGCCAAGGUGAACCAUCUGCCAGGAUUGAAUGCACAGUGCCUGUGCACCCCACCCAGUCAGGUACCGGAGCCGCUGCUGGAGCUACAUGCUUCUCAGUUUGAACAUGGCCCUUCAGUGAGCCUCCCUAGAACUCGGGUAACUCUGAGCCUCUGGAGCUGGAACCAGUGAUUGCCCAAAGUGACAUGCCCUUUCUUCCCCCUCCAUGACUGCACAGUCACAGGUUCACAGUCAUAGGGCACAGGCUCCCUCACAGAAGGCAGGGCUCCGCUUUCAACACUGGGAGCCUCCCAAGCCAGGAACAAAGCUGCUCUAUUUCCAGGGUCUGCUGUCUGGCCGACAGAGGUCUGUGGUACUCUUCCUUGGCAAGCUGAGUCUGAUCCUUGGUGGGCUGAGAGGAAGGGAGCAGUGUGCCCUCUCUUCAUGGGUUUUCGUGGUCACACUGUUUCCUGUCAACUUUGCAGGGUAGAGUCAAGGUCAGUGGGGCCUGCAGAUCUAUCCCUCGUGCAAAGCCCGCUGGUGGUGCACAGGCCACAGAAGCCACUCCGUGCAUAUUAACAGGUGCUUCUGCCUGCUGAUUGCCAGCUGCCUUGGUAGGACAGGGGAAGAAAGCAAGGAGCUCUAUUUCCACGGGAUUAGGUGCAUCCUGCCCCUGCCGGUGCUUCAGGUCUGACUUAAAGUCAGUGCUCUCGCUCCUCGUGUUACCCAUGGCUUGUGGGCUGCUACAGGUUCUUGCCUGCUCUGAGAGGGUAUCCCCUCCCCAGCACUGGCUGAGAGUCACUGGCGGUAUCCCACUAGCUGCUGCGUGAUUGUACCAUUGCCAAUUUCCAUGGAGUUUCUCUUUGCAUAGACAUUUCCAUUGUAGGCCUCUCUCCAGCUGUCUGCUGGGAAUGUGAUUCCUCUGUUUUUCUUUUGCUAUCUUCCUGUGGUCAAAAGAACACGUCUUUUUCCCUAUUCAGCCAUCUUGAAUCUGUGGAGUAGGAGAUAGAAUUAACCCAGAAAGUCUGUUUUCAAUGUCCAAGUUACUGACAUAAUGAAAGCUUUGUGUCAGGGAUUCAUGUCAUGUGUUCUCGUAGUUUAUUGUAGAUAAGUUAACUAAUCCAGUAAAGAGGAAAAAACUUAAAAUCCCACCUCCAUAUGGUGCUUUGGCAACUAAAAAUACACAUGUGAUCAUGUUCUUUUGUGUGACAGCCAUGUUUCUCAACUCCUCUUGGACUGAAUCUUGAAGUGAUUUUUAAAUUGUUAAAAAUAGAUUAAAUAUUUAAAGUUUGACAGUGUCACAUGAAUCUAAAAGUACAGUGCCAUCAAGUGUGAGAAGUCACAUGACAGCCUUAUAGACCUGUAGGCCUAUAAAAGACUUUACUGUAUGUUCUUCAACUCCCUCUUAAAAUUGGGGGAAACAAUAUGGAAAAAAUAAUAGUCUUACCCCCCUCUCUAAAAAGAACUAAUAAGACUACAUUGGCAACGAAGUUUCCACUGGAACAGUCUACAUGCAUUCAAACUGUAGCAACUACUGAAGAUUACUGAGUGGGGCAAAUCAUGUAUGUGAUCAGAUUAUGUGAAUAUGAAAGAAUGAAACUGCUCUUCUUCAAAAAACAAACAAACAAACAACAAAAACCUGUCAA